CAGCAGCCGCGGGAACACGGAGGGGGCUAGCGUUGUUCGGAAUUACUGGGCGUAAAGCGUGCGUAGGUGGUGGUUUAAGUCCGUUGUGAAAGCCCUGGGCUCAACCUGGGAAUUGCAGUGGAUACUGGGUCACUAGAGUGUGGUAGAGGAUAGUGGAAUUUCCGGUGUAGCAGUGAAAUGCGUAGAGAUCGGAAGGAACAUCUGUGGCGAAGGCGACUAUCUGGGCCAACACUGACACUGAGGCACGAAAGCGUGGGGAGCAAACAGGAUUAGAUACCCCUGUAGUCCCUGUCUCUUAUAC
rnacentral:rRNA from 1 species